rnacentral:lncRNA from 1 species
GGGUAAGUGCAGAGGAAAGCCAUGGAACUCAGGAGGGCUUAGCUCAGGCUUGCUUGUAAGAGGGAGACUUUUGUGCUGGCCACAGGCUGGCACUGGGGAUCAGGGCUGCCUGGGCAGAGCUGUUCACCCAGUGGGUGUGGGCAGGAGUGUUUGCCUGAGACAAGCUGGCUCUGCCUGCAGGAGGGGCUUGCCAACAGAUGUCAGAGACCAGAUGUCCAUCCAGGCUCCGGUUAUUCAUACAGUUAUUCUGCAAUUUCUUAGAGCGAGUGAGGUUGCCUCUGUGAACGCUGGUGGGCUUUUUAAUACUGGCCUGUGGCUCUGCCCUCAGAGCAGGGAAGCUCCUCCUCUUGCUGGUUCCCCUUUCGGAUGUUUCCUCCCCAGCUGAAGAGGCCGGCAGGCAGCCAGGAUGGGACACAGCUCACAGGACCCCCACCUCUGCUGGACCACCAGGCUCCUGGGAGUCAUUAGCCUGCUCUGUGAGUAGCUGGAUUUCCUGGAAGGGAGGGCAGUUGGGGGGUGCUGGGACAGCUGGGACCCUUCAGUCCUGGGGGCUGUUAGGCUCUGAUGCCUUUGGGAAACAAAGAGAAAGCCAGCCGCCCUGUUAUAAUUCACCAGUGCAGUGUGGGUAGAGCCCAGGAUGAAUGGAAAGAGCAAAAUGGCCUUUUGGUGGUGAGGACCUGGGACCCUGGGCUCAGGCAGCCCUGGCUGCAUGAGGGACCAUAGCCAGGGAGCUGAGGCCACCUGGGCUGCAGCAGCAGGG